CGUAAGGUAGAGUAGUUUGGUCGCUCGCAAGGCUCAUAACCUUGAGGUCACGGGUUCAAAUUUUGUCUUUGCAA
rnacentral:tRNA from 1 species